rnacentral:rRNA from 1 species
CACGUAGGUGGCAAGCGUUAUCCGGAUUCAUUGGGCGUAAAGCGCACGCAGGUGGCUUUUCAAGUCUGACGUGAAAUCUCUCGGCUUAACUGGGAGGGGUCGUUGGAAACUGAUUGGCUUGAGGCAAUGAGAGGGGUGUAGAAUUCCUGGUGUAGUGGUGGAAUGCGUAGAUAUCAGGAGGAAUACCCGUGGCGAAAGCGGCACCCUGGCAUUGGCCUCACGAUCAUGUGCGAAAGCGUGGGGAGCAAACAGG